rnacentral:tRNA from 1 species
GCCGAGGUGACGGAAUGGUAGACGUAGGGGACUUAAAAUUCCCGGAGCGCACGCUCAUGUGGGUUCGACUCCCACCCUCGGCA